rnacentral:rRNA from 1 species
GACAGAGGGUGCAAACGUUGUUCGGAAUUACUGGGCGUAAAGCGCGUGUAGGCGGCUAUGCAAGUCGGAUGUGAAAGCCCUGGGCUUAACCUAGGAAGUGCAUUCGAAACUGCUGGGCUUGAGUUCUGGAGAGGAAGGCGGAAUUCUCGGUGUAGAGGUGAAAUUCGUAGAUAUCGAGAGGAACACCGGUGGCGAAGGCGGCCUUCUGGACAGUGACUGACGCUGAGACGCGAAAGCGUGGGGAGCAAACAGG